GGGGCUGUAGCUUAGCUGGGAGAGCGCCUGCUUUGCACGCAGGAGGUCGGGAGUUCGAAUCUCCUCAGCUCCACCC
rnacentral:tRNA from 1 species